CGUGGGGGACAAUGGAACAGCGGAAGUCAGCUCGUUCCCAAAGCGCUUUCCGCUAUCGGAAUUCGAUGGCCCAUCAAGUCAAACCGAUCGCUUUCGGAAGACGAGAAGAAUGAAUCCACGACCCGUUCCGGAUUCAUUUCCCCUCAUCUAUCAGUUGCCGCCUUGAAGUUUUAAUCACGGGUUGUCUUCUUCUGUUCCAGGUUGAAUGCCUCUCUCUGGCCCAGGGAGCCCCGCGGGCCAGCGGAGACGGUUAUUUAUGAAGCCAGCGGAAGAAUCGCGGGCCCGAGAGUCCGAGGAUGUAACCUUGUGGAACAAAUGACUGCAUUACUCGAAUACGGCAUUGGAUCAAACAGGACAAUUCUUUGAAAAAUUGAGUUCUCUGUGGCAAUCCGAGACCCGUAAUCAGCAAAUUAGAUGAUUACAGCGGGGAUAAAAAUAGUUCUCCGACAAUGUCCAAGGUGCGGACGUGAUCUGAAUCUCAAAAACGUUCACCGUGAGGCAGGAAGACGGGCGGCUCGGUAAACACGACUAGACGCGAUCGGA